GAAAGGCGACUACCCCAGAGUCCUGACUGACUUCAUGGGGAGCAGUUCCAGCAUCGCCCAGGGACUCCGUGACAACUGGUGGCAGCGGUGGGAUGUACUGCACCCCGUGGAUGGUGCUUCCUGCAGUAAGUGACUGGGGAGCAGUAACACGAAGGGGGAUUGCCGAGGACCAGGCCUGCUGAAGGCUCAGAGAGGAGCGGUUUCGGGGGGCGGUUAACCCCUGGAAGUGUGUGACCAGCGAGAAGGACUGUGCAGUAACAGGGUUCCCCUGGGGAUUGCAGCGAGCAGUCCAAGGGGCGGAGGAGUCUGCAGCUCGACCCUGGCAAAGAGGUGGUGACCUCGAGAAGGGCUGACACACUAGGGGUUCUCCCUGGAAACCGUGGGGAGCUGAGAACACACGGGCCUGUGAGUCCACAACAACUUGGGAGGAGCGGAGUGACGGCCUGUCACCGUCUCCUUAAGAAGGACAUUGUAACCCUGUGCAAAAAGAGAGGGUUGAGCAUUGGAAAGUUCACCAAAGCAGAGUUAAUCGUGCAGCUGGAGGAGGAUGACCGCUCUAAGGAACAGAUUCCUGACCCCAACUGGGGCUAUAGCAGGAUCUGGGAGCAGCUGGAGUGGUAGCCAGGCAUCGCCAAGACUCCUGUCCCCGACCAGACGAGGGUCUUCACGAUCAGGUUCCCCAUCGGGGGAUCGAGACGGACGGGAUUGGAGCUGAGUCUGAGAGAGCAAGAGGACUGUGGGGGACAGCGAGAGCCCGAGAAAGAGCUGCAGAAGCAGCAGCAGCAUGAACUGGCGGUGGGGGAGCGGAGAGGCCUAGGGGACCUCCCCGGGGUGAGUGGGGAUAGAUCCCGGGGGGCCAGUUCCGCAGGGAACCUCGAGACUAAAUUGCUGCCCCUGGUUAAGGAGGGGGGGGUGUGGAUGCCCACCUCACUGCCUUUGAGCAGGCUGGCGAUUUGAACCAAGGGGACCCUGCGGAAAAGCCCCGGUGUCUAGCUCCCUUGCUGGGUCCCAAGGCCAUAGACUCCGUCAGCCAGAUGGUUGGGGAUGUGGACAGGCUCCCACUCCUGACCCCAACCUAUAUGUCUGUGUGGAGUUUCCUGGGGCCAGGCCCCUCGGACCUCCAGUGGGAGCAGAAGGUGAUGGUCAAUGGGGAGACAUUCUUGGGGUGGCCAAAGGGCAUGGGCUGCAUAAACCUUCCCACAUGCGGCCUGCGAGUGCUAUCGACCACCCCUGACCUAAGGGAGGGUGUGAAAAUGGAAGGGCCUGGUGUAACUCCUACCAAGGAAUGGGAGAGAUGCUGGGGCAUCCAUGGGAACGUUGGUGGCUUCGAACUUCCCCAGGUCACCGGCUAAAGUGACCCCGCUCAGUUCGAUCUCGAAGGGGGGAGAGAUGUGACGAAGUGGGACUAUUCUUAAUGUUUCCUCUGAAUAGUGUGGGGGUGCCUCAGUUUCCCCUAGGCAGUUCUUAAGUAUCUAGGGGGUGGGGUAAGGGUGUAUGAUCAUUGCAGAGCCCUAGAGGGCAUGUGUGUGCAGGAGUCUGGACACAGAGAAUGGCCGACACCCUGUUUCCUGGCAACUGAUGGCCUGGGCCCUUCCCCCCCUGCAAGGUGAGAGCUGAAGGGUUGGAGAACAAAGGAAUCAGGUGACCUCCUGGCCCGGGAAAGGAACAAAGCCCAGAGGAGGAGGGGCUGGAGGGGUUUUUCAGUUUGGGGCUGGCUGGGACAUGGAGUGAAGUGCAGACGUGGUUGUCUGGCUCACUGCCCCCCAAAAUGGACCCAGCUGAGGGGUCCCGUUCUCUGCACCUGCAAGCUCUGUUUUAGACCAUGUUCCUGUCGUCUAAUAAACCUUCUGUGUUA